rnacentral:misc_RNA from 1 species
CGAAAAUAAAGAGCACUGUUUGACGAAUGGAAUACGGUAUUCAUAUUUCAACAGAUUUUAACAUAGAGCAUAGAUCUAAUAAUGUGGAUGGAGUAUUGAAGUGAGAGCAUUGACGGCACCAACUUGAAUAUCCCAAGGACUACAGCUACAGGUUCAAUAACGAAUAUGCCAGAGGUAUCAGUGGUAAUACAUCUUACCUGAAACUGAAUUAUUUCACAUUCGAUAAAUACAACCGAACAAUGAAAGCUGCAAAUGUGGAAUUCGAUUUCCUGGGGGAAACUGUAGACAAAAACAACAACGCUAUUGAUGUGAUUUUCCAUUUUUCCAUAUUCAAGUCGAAUCAGUAUAGAAAGACUCCAAUAGCAUUUCCUGCGAAACUAUGCGACAUUCUAGGGACGGAACAAUUUGACAUACCAAACAUAACGAAGAAUUCCACACUUCGGAAUUGUCCCGUUCGCAAGGGUCACCACUAUAUGUACAACGUAAUGUUAACGUCUAAUGGAUGGCCAAAAUCUCUACCCGCGGGAAGGUUUCUCUUGGAUGUGAAAUUUAUGUAUAAAAAUGUGAUGAUUAUUCAAAUCGAAUGGUUUCUGGAAAUAAUAACUCUGUAAUAAGAGUUCACACUUAUGAAUAAGUGUUAAUGAAGUACUGUUCAAAAAUAAAUUUCAAAAAUUUGUG